CCAAUCGGAACACGCCCACCCACUAUAAAAGCUGAGAGGGGCCCCUGUACUCUUUCUCUGUUUCUCUUCUGCUGAGGCUGAAGACACGCCCCUUCCGGCUGCUUGCCCUGCUGCUCUCACCGGCGUUCAAAACAUUCGGUGCGUUACUCUGCUUGGUGUUGUGUAGCCACAUUUGUGUUGCCAAAGGAAGCCAUAGCGGCUGGACCGGCUUCUGACGUGCUCUCCUUGUCCUGUGUGUGUGUGUGUGUGUGUGUGUGUGUGUGUGUGUGUGUGUGUGUGUGUGUGUGUGUGUGUGUGUGUGUGUGUGUGUGUGUGUGUGUGUGUGUGUGUGUGUGUGUGUGUGUGUGUCACGCUGCUGUACAGAGUGGCAGCACCAAGGACCCGCUGCUACUUUGCUUGGCUGCUACUUUGCUCGCUGCUUUGUGUACUGCUGUGCUUCACUUCGCCCGGCCGUGUAUCUGUGGCCUGCUUCACGGCUAACCGGGGCUAGCUGCUGCUAUCUCUCUGCCUCACUCGCCUGGCCUACCUCUAUCCGGUGUCAGCCGGGUUCGGACCAAGCAAGUUAUGAACUGGGUUAUUUUUUUAACUGUUUUUAGCUCUGUGAUUUUAAUUGUUGCCUUGUCUGUGUUUUUUUUAUUUGCACCCACAGUGGGGACACAGUGUUAUUCGUUGGACAUUAUUUGGGUUUUGUUGUUUUUCUGUUUUGCUUUAUGCCCCUUAUUGGUUUAAUGUCCAGCUAGUAUUGAUUUGUUUUUUUCUGUUCUUAUUCUGAGCUUUAUUUGUUUUUAUUUAUAUUUGUUUUCUAGGUUAAAAUAUUCAUUCUGAUUUGGUUAUUAGUUUAGUUCUUUUUGUUUCUGUGUUCUCCACUGAUUCCCUUCUAUGUUUCAGAGGCUGUGUACCUGUGGUCGGGACGUGAUGUCGUCAGUGGUGGUCUCCUCCCCGCGUGAUGUGUGAACCCUGUUUUUUUUUUUUUUUGGUUUAGUUUUGCACUUGUGUGUGAUUUUUCUUUAUUCACUUGGUGACCUCUCCCUGGGCCCUGUUCCUCCCCUCCGUCGACACACCGCCACAUGACCUGACUGUGAACACCAUUGACACCCACCUGAGGGAGACGCUGCCUAAGAUCUCCAGGCUGCUUGGUCAUGGUCUUUCUGGUCCUGCUCCAGAACAUCUUCAUCAACUACGUCUUCUUUUGAAGAGGCCCUCAGAUGCUGCAAUCUCUGAUCUUAAGGAGGAACUGCUACUUUCACUCUGUAACGAGACGGCGGUUAUUUUAAAGACCCAGCUCCUGCCAGCUUUGAGUGAAAAUUUAACAUCCAUCAAAACAGAACUACAGACAGUUAAAUCUGAGCUGUCAGUCAGUAUUUCAAACAUCAAGUCUGACCCAGGUGUCCUAAAGCACACUGUGGGUGAAACAGAAACUUCAGUCUCCACAUCACCGACGACAUCGACACACUCCAAAGCAGAGCACCUGUCUGCUGAACAGAGAAUAAUAAACUGCUGAAACAGUUGGUCUAUCCUUCUGUAAGUGAAAGCUAAACAGGAAGUGGUUCACUGAGGAUGUCGUCCAUUCAGUCUCCGUCUUCACAUCCAGAUGAGGUUUUCCUUCUGUUGGCUUUACUCAGAAGGUCCUCACAGUGAACAUGAGACACCUGAGACGAAGACAGACGUCACAGCAUCAGCAUCAACAGCAGAGGUUCAUUUUAAAGUGACCCUAGAAAGAUUUCCUCUGUCAUAUAUAUUUUCCAUGCAUUGAAAGACAGAAAGGCCUGUAGUCAUUUUAGCUUUAGGGGAGGAUUUUAUUGUCCAGCUUAUUUGUGCUGCAAUUUAAAUAUAAUAACUGUAAUGUUCAUCAUUACUUUGGAAAUAUUCUGGGAAGUUAUUUUUCUAAUCUACACUAAGAUGUACUACAACAUGUGAAUCUGUCAUUAAACAAUGUUAACGACUAAAGAGUAGAUUUACUGUUUUCUCCAGUUUAACUUACUGGAGACUACCGACAACACAGAACCUCAACCUUACUGUUUUAAUCACAUUUAGGUUUUCUAAACGUUACAUUAAUGUGAACCAGUGUCUCCACUCACAGUUCUAACUAAAUGCACCACAUUACACAAACACAACACACUUCAGCUGUUUUACAUGAAACUCAACACAAACAUCGUUAGCUUAAUGCUACGUUAGCUUUAAUCAGGCUACGACUGAGCAGCUAGCUCGGUUAGCAUCGCUAACAUUAAAGCUAAUAUUUACUGGAUGUUAACUUUCGUCUCUGGUCAGCAUACACUGAAAUAAACUCCACCAACAUCUGGAGUGCAUGGUACACAUUAUAUCUGACACUACAGCUGCAUAUAAAGUGUAGUAAAAGCGGCACAGAUAAGAAAAUAAACACUUACCGAACUAUCAGAGUCCUUUCAGUGUCUGCUGGUAGAAUCAGCCAAAGGUAGAAAACUGGUUAAAACGAGCCAACAGGCAGGAAAACUGUUUGUGGAAGAGGUUCUGCUGCUCCACUGCUAAAUAAACCAACAGUUAUAUCAGAAAACGAGGAGAACAGAUUCUCUGCUGCCUCCUCCAUAGGACCUGUCAAUUAUUCCAGACCGGACUGUCAAUCAAGUAGCCCCGCCCCCUGGCUUUGCAAAACUUUAAUGCUCUAUAAAAAUUCAAUAUUGAUUUAUUUUAAGAUCGUCCACCUGAUCUCUCAUUUUGACUAUGAAAACUAACGAAAAAAAAAUAUACAGUCUAUGCACCAUACUCUGUUUGGCUCCACAUUUGCUGAUUACCACUUCCGGGCUCAGAAAAUGAAAAAACGGAUCUUUUGUCAUUUCUGUCUCUUACUGAUUUUAUUUUCUUGUUAUUGUAAAUAUAAAAUGAAAAUCAAAGCAUUUUUUAAAAUGUCAUUAGAAGGUUAUGUUAUACUGUGAAUAACAAACUUGCAGACAACAGUGCAAUAAUUAUUCUUUAGUCAUGAGGAUUAGAUAUCUGUGAACACUAAUUUGCUUGAUAUUUGAUAUUGCAAAAAAAGGACAUUGUGAUAUUGUAAAGAAUAGUGUUGGAGAUUAGCCCUUUAACUGAUGUUCUCAUAUUUGUGAAAUUUAAGUUGUGAUGGAACUGUUUCCUUGCAGAGGAAAAAGAAAUGACAGUGUUAUUAGAAAGACACUUUUUAUUUUAAUUUUAAUUUUUUUAAUUUAAUAUUUUUCUUUCUUCUUUUAUUUCAUUUUUAAGGUUUGGAUAUCCUUGAACACUUAUUUGAACAGAAUAUAGAUUCUGAUGUUGUUGUAAAGAAUAAUGUUGGAGAUGUGCCCCUCCUCUGUCCUCAACCCGCCCGGCCAGCAGCAGAUGGGUCCCCCCUAUAUAGAGCCGGGUUCUGCUCGAGGUUUCUUCCCUGUUAAAAGGGUGUUUUCCUUGCGACUUACGCCUUUGGGCUUGCUCUGGGGGUCAGGCAUAUGGGUUCUGUAAAGCGUCUUGAGACAAUUUGACUGUAAUUGACGCUAUAUAAAUAAAAUUGAAUUGAAUUGAA